rnacentral:rRNA from 1 species
CAGUCGCCACGGUAAAACGUAGGGUGCAAGCGUUAAUCGGAAUUACUGGGCGUAAAGCGUGCGCAGGCGGUUAUAUAAGACAGAUGUGAAAUCCCCGGGCUCAACCUGGGAACUGCAUUUGUGACUGUAUAGCUAGAGUACGGCAGAGGGGGAUGGAAUUCCGCGUGUAGCAGUGAAAUGCGUAGAUAUGCGGAGGAACACCGAUGGCGAAGGCAAUUCCCUGGGCCUGUACUGACGCUCAUGCACGAAAGCGUGGGGAGCAAACAGGAUUAGAUACCCCCGUAGUCCCUGUCUCUUAUAC